AGUCUGGUGCCAGCAGCCGCGGUAAUACGGGGGAUGCAAGCGUUAUCCGGAAUCAUUGGGCGUAAAGCGCCUGUAGGUUGUUUAAUAAGUCUGUUGUUAAAGACUAGGGCUUAACCCUAGAAAAGCAAUGGAAACUACUAGACUUGAGUAUGGCAGGGGUAGAGGGAAUUUCUAGUGUAGCGGUGAAAUGCGUAGAUAUUAGAAAGAACACCGGUGGCGAAAGCGCUCUACUGGACCAUUACUGACACUCAGAGGCGAAAGCUAGGGUAGCAAAAGGGAUUAGAUACCCCUGUAGUCCUAGCCGUAAACGAUGGAUACUAGAUGUUGUGCAUAACGUACAGUAUCGUAGCUAACGCGUUAAGUAUCCCGCCUGGGGAGUACGCUCGCAAGGGUGAAACUCAAAGGAAUUGACGGGGGCCCGCACAAGCGGUGGAGCAUGUGGUUUAAUUCGAUGCAACGCGAAGAACCUUACCAGGGCUUGACAUACUACAAAUUCUUUAGAGAUAAAGAAGUGCCUUCGGGAAUGUAGAUACAGGUGGUGCAUGGCCGUUCUUA
rnacentral:rRNA from 1 species